AGAGUUUGAUCCUGGCUCGCAUUGAACGCUGGCGGCAGGCCUAACACAUGCAAGUCGAGCGGUAACAGGAAGAAAGCUUGCUUUCUUUGCUGACGAGCGGCGGACGGGUGAGUAAUGCCUAGGGAACUGCCCAGUCGAGGGGGAUAACAGUUGGAAACGACUGCUAAUACCGCAUACGCCCUACGGGGGAAAAGAGGGGACCUUCGGGCCUUCUGCGAUUGGAUGUACCUAGGUGGGAUUAGCUAGUAAGUGAGGUAAUGGCUCACCUAGGCGACGAUCCCUAGCUGGUCUGAGAGGAUGAUCAGCCCCCCUGGGAUGAGACACGGCCCAACUCCUACGGAGGCCAGUGGGGAUAUUGCACAUGGUCGCGGCCUGAUGCAGCCAUGCCGCGGUGUGAGAAGGCUUCGGUUGUAAGCCCUUCCGCGAGAGAAAGGUAGUGUUAUAGCCUUACUGGGA
rnacentral:rRNA from 1 species